rnacentral:misc_RNA from 1 species
GUAUUUUCGAAUUGUGUAAUUCGUGAUACGAUAAGUUCAGAUUGCUUAUUUACAACACAAGUUAAAGAUUUAAAUGGAACAAGGAUCUCCCCCCCAAGAGUGUUGAUCUCAAAGGCGGGUUCCUUGAAGAACGAUGCACACAAGGUGGAUAUGGAUUUUUUCAAGUGCCAUAAACACUUAUCGUGAAUGAUCCUUCCGCAGGUUCACCUACGGAAA